rnacentral:rRNA from 1 species
ACGGGUGAGUAACACGUGAGUAACCCUGCCCUUAACUCUGGGAUAAGCCUGGGAAACUGGGUCUAAUACCGGAUAUGACUCCUCAUCGCAUGGUGGGGGGUGGAAAGCUUUUUUGUGGUUUUGGAUGGACUCGCGGCCUAUCAGCUUGUUGGUGAGGUAAUGGCUCACCAAGGGGACGACGGGUAGCCGGCCUGAGAGGGUGACCGGCCCACACUGGGACUGAGACACGGCCCAGACUCCUACGGGAGGCAGCAGUGGGGAAUAUUGCACAAUGGGCGCAAGCCUGAUGCAGCGACGCCGCGUGAGGGAUGACGGCCUUCGGGUUGUAAACCUCUUUCAGUAGGGAAGAAGCGAAAGUGACGGUACCUGCAGAAGAAGCGCCGGCUAACUACGUGCCAGCAGCCGCGGUAAUACGUAGGGCGCAAGCGUUAUCCGGAAUUAUUGGGCGUAAAGAGCUCGUAGGCGGUUUGUCGCGUCUGCCGUGAAAGUCCGGGGCUCAGCUCCGGAUCUGCGGUGGGUACGGGCAGACUAGAGUGAUGUAGGGGAGACUGGAAUUCCUGGUGUAGCGGUGAAAUGCGCAGA